AUUGUGCAUGUAUCGUCAAUACCUCAGGGAGAGAGAAAACAUGUCCAGCGGGAGAAAACUCAAGGUGCUUCUCAUCCUGGGCAGUAUCAGGGAUGGACGCCAGGGGCUGAGGGUAGCGAAAUUUAUGAGAAGGAAACUGGAGGAGAGAAAUUUUGAUGUCAAAUUCUUCGAUCCCGUGGAAAUGAAGUUCCCAUUAAUAACCCAGCCAGUACAUUUUUAUGGUCCCGAAAGGAAAGGAGCCCCGGCAAUUUUGGUCGAAAACGAAAAGUUUGUAAAAGAUGCGGACGCUUACGUCAUAGUGUCGGCGGAGUACAAUCACAAUGUGCCCCCGGCCCUGACCAAUCUCCUGGACGCCUUCCCUUGCAGCGCCUACUCCUACAAGCCUAGUGGCCUCGUCUGUUAUUCCAUGGGUCAGUCAAUUCGGGGGAAUGCGGGCAGCCAUGGCUUUGCGCGCCAUCACGGGAGAGCUAGGGUGUCUCAGUGUCUCCAAUAUUUUCGGAAUCCCCACCGUACAGAACGCGUUCGAUGAAGAGGGGAACCCUAAAAACGACCACAUGGAGUCGGGGGCUAAGAAAAUGCUGGACCAAUUAGAAUGGAUGGCUACAGCGAUGAAGAAUCACCGAGAGAAAGUGGGCGUGCCCAGUUAGCAGUCACGUGACUUAGUUUCUCUCACCAAUAUAAAUUUUCCAUGACAU
rnacentral:misc_RNA from 1 species